rfam:Macleaya cordata isolate BLH2017 scaffold9101, whole genome shotgun sequence.
AUGAAAAUGAGAUGUUGGAACGGCUCAAUCAAAUCAAAGCUCCCAAGAGAUGGGUCCUUUUGAUCUGAUUGAGCCGUGCCAAUAUCACAUUUUAAUUA